rnacentral:rRNA from 1 species
UGAUCCUGGCUCAGAACGAACGCUGGCGGCAUGCCUCAUACAUGCAAGUCGAACGAGGUCUUCGGACCUAGUGGCGCACGGGUGAGUAACAUGUGGGAAUCUACCUGAAGGUUCGGAAUAACUGCGGGAAACUGUAGCUAAUACCGGAUGUGUCUGCAAAGAGAAAGAUUUAUCGCCUUCAGAUGAGCCCGCACUAGAUUAGCUAGUUGGUGAGGUAAUUGCUCCACCAAGGCUCCGAUCUAUAGCUGAUUUGAGAGGAUGAUCAGCCACACUGGGACUGAGACACGGCCCAGACUCCUACGGGAGGCAGCAGUAGGGAAUAUUGGACAAUGGGGGAAACCCUGAUCCAGCAAUGCCGCGUGAGUGAAGAAGGCCUUCGGGUUGUAAAGCUCUUUCAUAAAUGAUGAUAAUGACAUUAGUUUAAGAAGAAGCCCCGGCUAACUUCGUGCCAGCAGCCGCGGUAAUACGAAGGGGGCUAGCGUUGUUCGGAAUCACUGGGCGUAAAGCGUAUGUAGGCGGAUCAAAAAGUUAGAUGUGAAAUCCCUGGGCUCAACCCAGGAACUGCAUUUAAAACUAGUGAUCUAGAAUUUGGUAGGGGCCAGUAGAAUUUCCAGUGUAGAGGUGAAAUUCGUAGAUAUUGGAAAGAAUACCAGUGGCGAAGGCGACUGGCUGGGCCAUUUUUGACGCUGAGAUACGAAAGCGUGGGUAGCAAACAGGAUUAGAUACCCUGGUAGU